GUGUCAGCCGCCGCGGUAAUACGUAGGUGGCAAGCGUUGUCCGGAUUUAUUGGGCGUAAAGCGUGCGCAGGCGGUUUCUUAAGUGUGAUGUGAAAUCCCACGGCUUAACUGUGGAGGGUCAUUGGAAACUGGGUGACUUGAGUGCAGAAGAGGAAAGUGGAAUUCCAAGUGUAGCGGUGAAAUGCGUAGAGAUUAGGAAGAACACCAGUGGCGAAGGCGGCUUUCUGGACUGCAACUGACGCUGAGGCGCGAAAGCAUGGGGAGCAAACAGGAUUAGAUACCCUGGUAGUCCAUGCCGUAAACGAUGAAUGCUAGGUGUAGGAGGUAU
rnacentral:rRNA from 1 species